GACGAACGCUGGCGGCGUGCUUAACACAUGCGAGUCGAACGGAAAGGCCUGCUUUCCCUUGUGGAUUGCGGGUACUCGAGUGGCGAACGGGUGAGUAACACGUGAGUGAUCUGCCCCCAACUUGGGUAUAAGCCUGGGAAACUGGGUCUAAUUCCCGAUAGGACUGCAGGGUGGUGCCUGUGGUGGAAAACGAUUUUCUAGUGGUUGGGGAUGGGCUCGCGGCCUAUCAGCUUGUUGGUGGGGUAAUGGCCUACCAAGGCGGCGACGGGUAGCCGGCCUGAGAGGGUGGACGGCCACAUUGGGACUGAGAUACGGCCCAGACUCCUACGGGAGGCAGCAGUGGGGAAUAUUGCACAAUGGGCGGAAGCCUGAUGCAGCGACGCCGCGUGGGGGAUGACGGCCUUCGGGUUGUAAACUCCUUUCGACCGCGAGGAAGCCACCUGGUUGGAAGGGUGGUGACGGUAGUGGUAGAAGAAGCACCGGCUAACUACGUG
rnacentral:rRNA from 1 species